UUAAAAUGUAGAGAAACAAAAUUGAAUUAGUAUUAGUUAUGUUCUUGAAAAUUAAUAAAUUUGGCGGUAUUUUAUUCUACUCAGAGGAAUUUGUUUUAUAAUUGAUAGUACACAUUAAAUCUUACUUAAUUUAUUAAAAUUUGUAUAUCGUCGUCAUAAGAAUAUCUUAAAAGAGAUUAAAUAUUCUAAAAUUUUAAAUGAAAAUUAUGUCAGAUCAAGGUGCAGUUUAUAAUUAAGAAAAAAUGAAUUACAAUAAAUUUAUUUAUAUGAAUUUAUUAUUAAAAUAUGAUAUUGAAGGUGGAUUUGACAGUAAAUUUAUAAAUAUAAAUAAAUUAAACAUAGUUUUAAAAUAUGU
rnacentral:rRNA from 1 species